AUGCCCAUAUCAAAUUAAAACACCUGUUCUCGUACGAUCGCCGUAGUUAAGCAACAUCGAGUCUGGUCAGUACCUAAAUGGGUGACCGCUUGGGAAUACCAGCUGUU